UUUUUUUUUUUUUUUGAAUAGUUCAUUCCCAUUCCUAUUGCAAUCAUUUUCACCUAGUGCAGCAAAUGAGAUAAUUUUGCAGAUUGUACCACUUUCCUUUUAAAUUAAUCCAUUCUUUUUGAGAGAAUGAUUCUAAUAGUGUGGUCAAGUACUUAGAAAUCAGCAGGCUGCUAACUUCUCCUUAAUUCAGUCUGUUCCAUUGAUUCCCUGAUCACUUGCUGUGUCACUCAGGGUGAAAUUCCUCCCUUUCUGCUCCUCCGUGGCUCCCUCCCCUCCCCCAUCAGUUCUUUAGUCUCUAGUGCUGAGAAAAGAGAUUCUGAGUUUUUGGGUUNGAGUUUUUGUUGCAGACGCGGCUCGGAUCCCGUGUUGCUGUGGCUCUGGCGUAGGCCGGUGGCCACAGCUCCGAUUCGACCCCUAGCCUGGGAAUCUCCAUAUGCCUCGGGAGCGGCCCAAGAAAUAGCAACAACAACAACAACAACAAAAGACAAAAGAAAAAAAAAACCAAAAAAAAAAAACCCAAUUAAUUAACGGGAGUGACUCUUGCUAGGGCACAUUUUUACUCUGGAGCUGAACACGUGAACUUUAAAGACGCACUGUUGAUCUGCAGAGGCAGCUUUUGGCAACAAGUGUGGUUCCACGUUACGGCUCCAUGAGGACUGCCGGUGGGUGGCCGAGUCAUCUUGUCCUUCAGCUGUUGACUCACGUGGUUGCAUGGAUGGGGACAUGGCUCAGUGUCUUCUCCUAGUUCCACCAUUACUAGUAACUGUAAUUUAAUUUGACUUCUCUAUUUUUCCCAUUGAAUAGAGCCAUAGGUAGAGUGUAAUGAUUUGAUGCUUUUGAUAAAACAUAGAAACAAACAGUAGGGAAGCUUAGGGAGGUAGAUUGUGGGCUUGGCACCAUUUUAGCAGGCACUUAAUUAUUGGUGUGGUGCAUUAGGGAAUUGGAUCCUGCAGAAUAAGGACUCAGACAGUGAAGUUUCUCAUGCAGCUUUGUCAGUGUCCUUUAUCUUACCUUUGUGCUGAGAGCAUUUUCAUAUUUAUCUAGUUCCAGUAUAUGAUAGCAAGUUACUAAAAACAACUGUCAUAUUUUUCUCAUCAAUCACUUAGAUUCUUACAUAGUAGGUGCUAAUUUAGUAACAUGACAAAAGGCAAUUUAAAUGCUAUCUCCUCUUAUUCUUGCAAGUAGGUAUACUUGACCCUAGUAAACACAAUGCCUCUUUGCCACACUUAAUAAUAAAAAGUAGAAUGAAGUUAAACAGUGACUCAGUAAAUAGUCACACACACACACACACAAAAAGGUGAAACUGCAAAAGAAAGAGCAAACAAACAAACAAAAAAAGGACCUUUGCUGCUUCAUUUCAGUUCAUUUCAGUUCAGUUCUGUGUCUGGAAUAAGUGAA
rnacentral:lncRNA from 1 species